rnacentral:rRNA from 1 species
UACAGAGGGGGCAAGCGUUAUUCGGAAUUAUUGGGCGUAAAGGGCGCGUAGGCGGCUUGGCAAGUGGAUGGUGAAAUCCCUCGGCUUAACCGAGGAACUGCCGUCCAAACUGCUUCGCUUGAGACCGGGAGAGGUGAGUGGAAUUCCCAGUGUAGCGGUGAAAUGCGUAGAUAUUGGGAGGAACACCAGUGGCGAAGGCGGCUCACUGGACCGGUACUGACGCUGAGGCGCGAAAGCCAGGGGAGCAAACGGG